UCGCACCUACCGAUUGAAUGGUCCGGUGAAGCCUCGGGAUUGUGGUCAGCUUCCUUCAUUGGAGACUGACUGUGAGAACCUGUCUAAACCUUAUCAUUUAGAGGAAGGUG
rnacentral:rRNA from 1 species